rnacentral:rRNA from 1 species
CCUACGGGGCGCAGCAGUGAGGAAUAUUGGUCAAUGGGCGGAAGCCUGAACCAGCCAAGUCGCGUGAGGGAAUAAGGCCCUACGGGUCGUAACCCUCUUUUGCCGGGGAGCAAGGGCGGGGACGUGUCCCGGCCCGGAGAGUACCCGGAGAAAAAGCAUCGGCUAACUCCGUGCCAGCAGCCGCGGUAAUACGGAGGAUGCGAGCGUUAUCCGGAUUUAUUGGGUUUAAAGGGUGCGCAGGCGGUCUGUUAAGUCAGCGGUCAAAGCCCGGGGCUCAACCCCGGCCCGCCGUUGAAACUGGCAGG